UGGGGGAGUAUUGCACAAUGGGGGAAACCCUGAUGCAGCAACGCCGCGUGAAGGAAGAAGGUCUUCGGAUUGUAAACUUUGUCCUUGGUGAAGAUAAUGACGGUAGCCAAGGAGGAAGCUCCGGCUAACUACGUGCC
rnacentral:rRNA from 1 species